rnacentral:lncRNA from 10 species
AGAGACAGGAUCUUGCCAUGUUGCCCAGGCUGGAGUGCAGUAGCUGUUCAUAUGGGUGAUCCUAGCACACUACAGCCUCAAACUCCUGGCUUCAAGCAAUCUUCACCUCAGCCUCUGGAGCAGCUGAGACUUCAGGUGUGUGCCACUGCACCUGGCCAUUUUUUAUUUUCUAUUACACCUAACAGGGGUGGAGGGAGAACAAAUAGUUGAGGAAAGAGGUAUGUGAAUUAAGUCAGUAAAGGAGUUGUGAGUUUUGUGUGUAUGAGAUGGUUUUCAUCAGUUUCUGAACAAAUCCAGCUUCUGCUGUGGCCCACUGUGUCAGUUCACAGUCACCACUGUGACUGUAAUAUUAGUCCC